CUUUCAGGCAGCGAGCGCAGAGGCGGCUGGGGAGGCAGGAGGCACUGCGUGAGGAGAUUGCAGAUAAGUUUUUCUCUUAAAAAGAGAUAGACAGGAAUUGAUACAGUUCUUUAGGAAACGUAAAAUAGUGCUAGUGCUUAUUGAGAUACUGCUGAGCAUGAAACUUAGAGUAAUUUAAUCUUAAAAAGAUCUGUAAGGGAAAAGAUGAAGACUUCUAGGAUGAGAAAGAGGAAAGAUCUUUCUAGAACAAGACGGAGGUUAAGAGACGAAGCUUCAUGCAGUGAAAAAACUUAGGCUUUAAAAAUUGAGGCCAGAACUGCCAAGCCCGGGAUUCAAAAAAUCCUUAAAUUGAAGGGCAGCCGUGUAGAUUGACGUUAAAAUGUAAGCGACCUAAACAGGGCCUAAAUGCUAUUUUAAAAAGACGAGUUGUAGACGAUUAAAAAAAUUUUUAAGUUUAUUCUAAAAAGAUUUAAGUUGAAGGUGCCUUAAGAGAUAGGCCUUCAAAUUCAUGGCGCAGGGAGGAUUGCAUCAUUUGAAACUUAGUUCUUAAAAUGACAAAUACUAAUUGGAAGUAGUAGGAUAAAAAUUUGGAGAGCUUAGAAAAUUGAAGUGGAGAACUCAGAAGACAGAAGUACAGGAAGGUGAAGACUUAAAGACAGAAGUACAGGAAGGUGAAGAAAAGACUUAGAGAAGAUAGGAAAACUGGAAGAAAAAUUACGGCUUUUAGAAGACAGAAAAUUAAAAGUCCAAAGGGAGGAAGCAGAAGAAAAGGUGUGUUUAGACAAACUAGAAAACCAAGGCAACUAAGGUCUCAGAUUACAAGUUCAGGAGAAAACCAGAAGUUGGAAACGAGGUGGAAGAUACCUUCAGGGAAAGUAUUUCAGGUAGAAUACGAAAAGCUAGGACAACUAUUGAGCACAAGCUUAGAAGAUAGACGUCAAAAAGAAGAUAGAAAAGGUUAAAGCCAAAAACAAAAAAUUGGAUUAAGUACAAGAACAGGAAAACUAAGGAGGAAAUUAAUAUUUAUUAGAAUUUCUUAUAAACGCCCAUGAAGUUACUUUCUGGUGAUGCAGAAGCUAGAUUUGAGAAGAUGAGGGUGUUAAAACAACUAUAGACCGGCGCCAACUUAGAAGAAUUAUUCAGAAGCUAGAAGGGGAAUCAGUUUAAAAUUACAGCGUUUCAUGGCCUUGGUACUAAAAAGACUUGAAAUUACUUAAGAACCAAGGUAGCAUAUUUUUGGAGAGCUAAAAAUUUCAAAGUCUUUAAAUGCAGUAGCUUAGUGUCUUUUGGAAAAUUUAAAGAACUUUCAUAACUGAAGUAAUUCAAGAUCAAGAAUAACUUCCAACUUAACAUUUCUGCAUUGGACUUUGGGCUAAGAUGAUUUUAAAUCCUGAGGACUAGCGUAAUUGGCAGCUGACCCAGGUGCUACGCAGAAGUGGAUUCAGUGAACCUAGGAAGACAGGAGCAGCAGACAGGAUUCCAGGAACCAGUGUUUGGUGAAGCUAGGACUGAGGAGCCAGCUGCAGUUCGUGGUGAAGAUAGGAAGGAAGGAAGGAGAAGUCCAGGAGCCAGUGCGGUUUGGUGAAGGAAGCUAGGAAGAAAGAAGGAGCCCUAACGAUUUGGAGGUGAAGCUAGGAGAGAGGAUUCCAGGAAGGAGGAGGAGCCAGUGCGAUGUGGUGAUGAAGCUAGCGAGCGGCUUGGCGGCUGUGGCUCGGUGACCACGAGGAGGCGGCGAGCAGGCGGUGUGGAGGAUAGAUAGAGGAUCCUAGAGCAGCAAGCAUCCCAGUGUGCAAGGCCGCAGGGAGAGCGAGCGAGCGAGUGGUGUGGUAAAAAUCCGUGAGGUCGGCUAAUGUGUUUUUGUAACUGGAGUAUGGUAACCUUUAUUUGUUUUCCCAAUGGUAACGGGGGAGUUGUGUAUCUAAGCGCCAAGGGAUUUGACGGGGUGUAGGCCGAUUCCGGGUGUUGUAGGUUUCUCUUUUUCAGGCUUGUUUUCUCAUGCAUCUUGUCUGAAGCUUUUUGAGGGCAGACUUCCAAGGCCUGGAGGAAUGGUAGAUGGCAAGUUUUUUUUGUUUAUAACCAAUUUGAUUUGAACCAAAUGAAUUUGAUAGAACAACUUUGAGACAAGAUUUUGGCAAGUUUUCUAAGAAGUUUUUAUUUUUAGCUUGGGGUAAUGAAGCAUUUCAGUUUGUGAAUAGAUGACCUAUUUUUCUUCCCUCACCCUGUAUUAAAGUUAUGUAAAUGUGGAGUUUGGGUGUGUAACUCUGGGGGGGGAAGUUUUCUUGUGGGGAUGGGGGGGGCAAAAUAUGUUUUGAGUUCUUUUCCCCUUAGGUCUGUCUAGACUCCCAAAGGCAAAUGACUCAAGGUAACAGAAAAAAAGAAAAUCCAGUAUCAGGAUAAUCAGAACACCACAGGUUUACAGUUUCUAGAAACUAGAGCACGAGCAGCUCUCACUUUUGAGUUCUGUGGCGGAGCUGUCCAUUGGAGAAAUGGCUGGUAGUUACUCUUUUUUUCCACCCCUUUGUCAGCUUUUUAAUACAUAACCCUUUAAAUUUGUCAUAUUUACUUAUUUUGGGGUGGUCUUAACAGGGAAGAGGGUGGGGGAGAAAAUUUUCUUUCUAAGAUUUUCCACAGAUGCUAUAGUACUAUUGACAAACUGGGUUAGAGAAGGAUUGUACUGCUAUGCUGUUGGCACGAACACCUUCAGGGAUUGGAGCUGCUUUUUUCCUUGGAAGAGUAUUCCCAGUUGAAGCUGGAGUGGUACAGCACAGUGCAGCUUUGGUUCAUGUUCAGUCCUCUCAGGAGCACUUCAGAAGAGCUUGACUAGGCCAAAUGUUGAAGUUAAGUUUUCAAGUAACGUGACCUUUAAAAUCACUUUUAUUAAAGGGGAGGGCAAAUUUUGGCAAUUGGUAGUUGGCAGUGGCCUGUUAAUGGUUGGGAUUUGGGAGGGUUGGGGUUAGGUAAUUGUUUAGUUUAUGAUUUCAGAUAAUUCAUGCCAGAGAACUUAAAUACUUAGGAUGGAAAAACUAAAGAAAUCUCAACUUCCAAGUUGGCAAGUAACUCCCGAUCCUCUAGUUUUUGUUUUCCCCCAAUGUUUGAAUUGGGCAGCUGGGGAAGUUCAUGAAGAUCCAUUGGAUUCACAGUGUAGGGCUUGGGGAAGGAAAGUACAGGACUGGGGGUUGGUCUAGCCCACUGGCUGACUUAGAAACUUUGGGAACUUUGAAAAAUGACUUAAAGUUGUUUGGAUAUGGUAGUGUGUGGUUCUCUUUUGGAAUUUUUUUCAGGUGAUUUAAUAUAACUUAAUACUACUGUAGGAGCUUCAGAGCAAAGGAAGUGGCUUAAUGAUCCUGAAGGGAUUUCUUCUGAUGGUAGCUUUUAUAUUCUCAAGUAAGAUUCUAUUUUCAGUUGUGUAUAAGCAAGUUUUUUUCUUAGUGUAGGAAAAGUAUUUUUCUUUUGUAUGACUGCAAACAAGAUGCUAAGGUAUGCUUCAAAAUUGCUGUAAAUUGUGUAUUUUAAUCAUAACUGAUACAGAGGGUGGGUCUUUGUGGAUGAGGGAGGGGAAACCUUUUUUUUCUGUAGACUUUUUUCAGAUAACUUCUUCUGAGUCAUAACCAGCCUGGCAAUAUGAUGGCCUAGAUGGAGAGGGAACAGCUCCUUGGUGAAUGAUAAGUAAAGGCAGAAAAGAUUCUAUUUCAUACCUCCAUUGGGGAAAAAGCAUAACCUUGAGAUCCUUACUACUGAUGAACGCAUGGUCUGCAUAUGCAAAAAAAAAAAAAAAUUAACCAAAUGAAACUACCAAUUUAAAGUUAAUGGAAACUACCAUUUAAAAGUUCUGGCCUAUCAAGCUAUACCCACACACAAAAAUGAAUUGAUGAGAAAUAAUAUAAUGAAUUGAUGAGAAAUGCAACGAAGAUCAAGUGUCCAUCUCAAAAUGCUGCUUUUACAAAAGCAGAAUAAAGAAAUGAAAUGAAAAUAAUACUACAUUAAUCGUGGAAUAAAAGAAGCUGAAAUAAUUCAGAGUGGGAUCAAGUGGAUUGAGAGGAGGAGGCUGUGCUGUUUGCCAAUCUUUCGUUUGCCUCAGACAGGUUUCUCUUCAUUAUCAGAAGAGUUGCUUCAUUUCAUCUGGGAGCAGAAAACAGCAGGCAGCUGUUAACAGAUAAGUUUAACUUGCACCUGCAGUAUUGCAUGUUAGGGAUAAGUGCUUAUUUUAAAUAAGGGCUGUGGAUGUCUUGAGUAUUGAACAUGGCCGUUUUUCCUGAUCCCUUCCCUAGGGGAUUCCAGGAUUGUGAGGAAUUUUCCCAUCUAGCCUUUGUAAAGUUAGACAGGACUUGUACCUGUGGGCUUCCAUGAUGGGAUCGCACACCUCACUCAGGCAAGUAAUUCCUAAAAGCCUUGAGGGUGGUGCCUUUAUAUAAUAAGGCGGCGUUUUAUAAAACUAAGAAAACUUGUUUAGCAUUGAAUCGCUUAAAUCCUACAAAAGGAUAGCAUAAUGUGUUAAGAAUCGGAUGCUGUUAAUCUUGCUAAAAUUUAAUUGUGUUGUGAUGUACGUUGUGCAGAAAACAUAAAAUCGUUCAAAAUAAAACCAUUUUAAUAUAGAGAAUGUAUGCUUUUAGAAAGCUGUCUCCUCAUUUAAAUAAAGUAUUGUUUGUUUGUAGUUAGUGUUGGGCAAUCUUGGGGGGAUUCUUCUCUAAUCUUUCAGAAACUUUGUCUGCGAAACACACUUUAAUGGACAAGAUCAGGAAUUGAGCGGAAGAACGAAUUUAACUUUAAGGCAGGAAAAACAUUUUAUCCUUCGUAAAGUGAUGAGCAUUUAAUAAUUCCAGGCACAUGGCAAUAGAGGCCCUCUAAAUAAGGAAUAAAUACCUCUUAGACAGGUGGGAGAGUAUGAUCAGAAUAACAGGUAACUACACCAACACUGUUUCUAGAAAGUCAGGGGUCUAUAAAUUGACAGUGGUAGAGUAAUACAAUACUGUCCAGAUUCCAGAGUUUGCAUGUUAACUUUUAAAUGCUUAUAAUCAUCUCAUCUGGUGUUAGCCAACAUUUAUACAACUGGCCUUUCAUAUAGGUAUGGGGGGGGGCAUGUGGGUUUUUAAAGAAUUUUCCUUUGCAGAGGCUUCAUUUCAUCCUUCAUGAAGCUGUUCAGGAUUUUGACUUGCAUAUAAGCGCUUGGCUCUGCCUUCUGUUCUCCUAGUGAGUGUGUGAGACCUUGCAGUGUAUCCGCAUAAUACUCAAGUAAAUUUUUUUUCCCCUGUUUUGGAGGGAAGGGAGGAGGGGGUGGGGCUUACUUGUUUUAGCUUUUUUUUUUACAGACCACACAGAGAAUGCAGUUGUCUUGACCUCAGGUCUGUCUGUUCUGUUGGCAAGUAAUGCAGUACUGUUCUGAUCUGCUGCUAUUAGAAUGCAUUGUGAAACGACUGGAGUAUGAUUAAAAGUUGUGUUCCCCCCCAAUGCUUGGAGUAGUGAUUGUUGAAGGAAAAUCCAGCUGAGUGAUAAAGGCUGAGUGUUGAGGAAAUUUCUGCAGCUUUAAGCAUUCGUGUUUGUGAUUGAAGUCAAGUACCUUUUGCUGUGCUUCUUUAGGUAAAAUGCUUUUUGUUCACUUCUGGUAGGGGGCGGUGGGGAGGGCACUGAAGCCUUUAGUCUUUUCCAGAUGCAACCUUAAAAUCAGUGACAAGAAAUAAAUUCCAAACAAGCAACAGUCUUCAAGAAAUGUAACUGGCAAGUGGAAAUGUUUAUCAGUUCAGUGGUCUUAGUGCAUUGUCUUUGUGUGGGUUUCUCUCUCCCCUCCCUUGGUCUUAAUUCUUAUACGCAGGAACAUUCAAAACAGCAGACGUAUGCGAAGGGCCAGAGAAGCCAGACCAGUAAGGAAAAAAAAAUAGCUUAUUUACUUUAAAUAAACAUUCCAUUUAAAAUGUGGGGAUUGGGAACCACUAGUUCUUUCAGAUGGUAUUCUUCAGACAUGUAGAAGGAGCUUCCAGUUGAAUUCACCAGUGGACAAAAUGAGGACAACAGGUGAACAAGCUUUUUUCUAUAUUUACGUAACAAGUCGGAUCCAUGAUGAGUAAAUAAUUUAGUGUUAAAUAGUUUCAGCUUUAUGCUGGAAUGAAUAGCAUGUGAGCAAGCUGUUUGUUGGCCUGGGGGUGGAGGGGUGAGGUGGGCGCUAAGCCUUUUUUUAAGAUUUUUCAGGUAUCCUUCCCUAAAGGCACCGAAGGCUUAAAGUAGGACAACCAUGGAGCCUUCCUGUGGCAAGAGAGACAACAAUGCGCUCUUAUACUAAGGUCAAUAAAAACGGUGUCGGCCUCAUAACCCCAUCUUCUGUUAGAAACGAGGACUCGCCUCCACGCCCUUGGCAGACAUGCACUGAGGCUCUUUUUGGAGAAUGGAGCAUCUAAAGGAAUGCUUUGAGUACCUUGUAUACUCUUGGGCCUGUCUGACCUUUGAUUGUGCUGCUUUUACAGCAGCUCUUUAAAAAGCCCAAACGUCCAGUGACGGUUGAAGGGGAGGGAAAGGGGAAAGCGGGCAACCACUUUUCCCUAGCUUUUCCAGAAGCCUGUUAAAAAGCAAGGUCUCCCCACAAGUGACUUCUCUGCCACAUCGCCACUCCCUGCCUUUGGCCUAGCGCAGACCCUUCACCCCUCACCUCGAUGCCGCCAGUAGCUUGGAUCCUUCAGGCCAUGAUCCGUAAUCGGUUUCAAGGUAACAGUGGUGCUGAGCUGUUCCUUCCGGUGGGUUGCACUACUAGAAGAGGCCAUUAAUUUGCCUGCAAAUAGUUAACGUUAUUAAAACCACAACUAAAAGCUCAAAGAUAAUUUUAAAUCUAUAACCCCAUUAUCCAGUGAUUAAAACACUUAAACCAGUGAAUGGAGAAUAAUGUUUUAAGACUGUCAUGUUGGGUGGGAGAAUCUACCUUGUAAACUGAAGAAGCAUCGGCGUUUUAGUCUCGAGGACUGUUGGGUGGGAUUGCAAAAAUUCUCUGCUAAGACUUUUUCAGGUGAACAUAACAGACUUGGCCAAGCUAGCAUCUUAGCUGAAGCAGAUUCUCCAGUGUUCUUCAGUAGGGUUGUAAAGGUUUUUCUUUUCCUGAGAAAACAAGUUUUGUUUUCUCAGGUUUUGCUUUUUGGCCUUUUCCUAGCUUAAAAAAAAAAAAGCAAAAGAUGCUGGUGGUUGGCACUCCUGGUUUCCAGGACAGGGUUCAAAUCCCUGCGGCGUCUUUGCUUGACUCUGACCUCUGUCUUCAGAACUCUUUCCGUUUUCCUUCUCUCUAGUUCUAGGCUUUUGGGGUUGGGGAAGGUGGGAGAGACUUUGUUAAAUUCGUCAGAAACCAAAAUCAGUUCGUGUUUAUGUGGGAUCCUUGUGAUAACUUGUCUCUGAUUUUCAGGUAGUCCCCGUGCAUCUAGUACAUGAAGAA
rnacentral:lncRNA from 1 species